rnacentral:rRNA from 1 species
AGAGUUUGAUCCUGGCUCAGGAUGAACGCUAGCGACAGGCUUAACACAUGCAAGUCGAGGGGCAGCGGGGGCGUAGCAAUAUGCCUGCCGGCGACCGGCGCACGGGUGAGUAACACGUAUGUAACCUGCCCUAUGCAGGGGGAUAACCCGGAGAAAUCCGGCCUAAUACCGCGUAACACCUUAGGGGAGCAUUCUCUUGAGGUUAAAGGAGAGAUCCGGCAUAGGAUGGACAUGCGUCGCAUUAGGUAGACGGCGGGGUAACGGCCCACCGUGCCGACGAUGCGUAGGGGUUCUGAGAGGAAGGCCCCCCACACUGGUACUGAGACACGGACCAGACUCCUACGGGAGGCAGCAGUGAGGAAUAUUGGUCAAUGGCCGAGAGGCUGAACCAGCCAAGUCGCGUGAGGGAAGAAUGUCCUAAGGAUUGUAAACCUCUUUUGUCGGGGAGCAAAAAGGCUCUGCGGAGUCGUAUUGAGAGUACCCGAAGAAAAAGCAUCGGCUAACUCCGUGCCAGCAGCCGCGGUAAUACGGAGGAUGCGAGCGUUAUCCGGAUUUAUUGGGUUUAAAGGGUGCGCAGGCGGCGUGUCAAGCAAGCGGUAAAAUAGCGGGGCUCAACCCCGUCGAGCCGUUUGAACUGGCGCGCUUGAGUUCAGGCGAGGUAGGCGGAAUUCGUGGUGUAGCGGUGAAAUGCAUAGAUAUCACGAAGAACUCCGAUUGCGAAGGCAGCUUACCAGUCUGCGACUGACGCUCAGGCACGAAAGUGUGGGUAUCGAACAGGAUUAGAUACCCUGGUAGUCCACACAGUAAACGAUGAGCGCUAGGUGUCCGGGUCGCAUGAGACUUGGGUGCCCGAGCGAAAGCGUUAAGCGCUCCACCUGGGGAGUACGCCGGCAACGGUGAAACUCAAAGGAAUUGACGGGGGCCCGCACAAGCGGAGGAACAUGUGGUUUAAUUCGAUGAUACGCGAGGAACCUUACCCGGGCUCAAACGACUCAGGAAUAUAUUGGAAACGAUGUAGCCAGCAAUGGUCUGAGUCGAGGUGCUGCAUGGUUGUCGUCAGCUCGUGCCGUGAGGUGUCGGCUUAAGUGCCAUAACGAGCGCAACCCCUACCGCCAGUUGCCAACGGGUAAAGCCGGGAACUCUGGCGGGACUGCCGGCGCAAGCUGCGAGGAAGGCGGGGAUGACGUCAAAUCAGCACGGCCCUUACGUCCGGGGCGACACACGUGUUACAAUGGCAGGUACAGCGGGAAGCCACCUGGUGACAGGGAGCGGAACCCGAAAGCCUGUCUCAGUUCGGAUUGGAGUCUGCAACUCGACUCCAUGAAGCUGGAAUCGCUAGUAAUCGCGGAUCAGAAUGCCGCGGUGAAUACGUUCCCGGGUCUUGCACUCACCGCCCGUCA